rnacentral:lncRNA from 1 species
GUCAUAAGGAUGUACAAAGACAAGCCAAUGUUCAGAGAAAAGCAGAAAGAACGUAUAAGAAGAGCAUAUAGAAAAUCUCCAGUAUUCAGAGAUAAGCAGAAGGAACGAAUGAGAAGAAUAUAUAGAGAAUCUCCUCUAUUGAGAGAGAAGCAGAAAGAGCGUAUAAGAAGAAUAUACAGAACUUGUGCUGAAUUCAGAGAGAAACAUAAAGCUUACAUGAGGUCAUAUGUAUAUAACCUAUAUAAAGAAAGUGAAGAAUUUAGACAGAAAAAACAAUCCUACAUCACUAGACAUUAUGGCGAAGAGAGAAUAUUUCAGCAGCAUCACAAGGACAAUAUGAGAAAACGAAUGAGAGUAAAAUAUUGGAACAGUUUUUCUUUUAGACAGAUGCAUAAUAUCAGAUGUGCAAUGAACAUAAAACGAAAAUAUCGUCAGAUGCAACGACCAGCUGAAAGUUUACAGUCUCAUCCAGAUAAUACUUUAAUGAAUGAGGCCAUAUCUUGUUUCAGAUCAAACAUUAAGUCAGCACCAUCUUAUGUUUGUACUGUUUGUCUAAAAGCUUCUUUUCCUAAUCAGGUAAAAAUCUGCAAAAGAGAAAAUUACUCAAAACACCAAACUGUAGCUCAGCAGUGUCUAACUGGUAAAUUUUUUCAUGUGUGUGAUGAAGCAUGUAAUGAUCAGUGCAGUUUUCCUGUUGAGAGAAAAAAGGAGUAUAUCUGUCACACGUGUCACAGUUCCCUCAAAAGUGGACGCAUGCCAAGGCUUGCUGCUGUCAAUGGUUUAGAUCUGCAGGAUAUUCCAGCUGAACUGUGUGAUCUCAACAUUCUGGAGAGACAUCUGAUUGCCAAAUGCAUCCCAUUUGCAAAGAUUAUUCCACUUCCAAAAGGUAGACAAAGACUCAUACGUGGUAAUGUGGUGUGUGUACCAUCUGAGGUCCAACAAACAGUUGACUCUUUACCUCGGCUCAGAAGCCAAUCACAGAUAAUGAGGAUCAAGCUGAAAAGACGACUGUGCUACAAAGGCCAUCAGCUGUUCCAGACUGUCACCUGGUCUAAACUCAUUCAAGCUCUGCGUAAACUGAAACAGAUUCAUCCACAGUACACAGAUAUUAUUAUCAGAG